UAGGUACACAGAAGCCAAGUCCUGACCCGCAAUAGGUACUCACACAGCAGCCAAGUCCUGAUACACAGUACUCACACAGCAGCCAAGUCCUGACACACAGUAGGUACUCACACACCAAGUCCUGACACACAGUAGGUAUUCACACAGCAGCCUGGGUCCUGACACACAGUAGGUACUCACACAGC